ACAGCUGCUGCCUUUACUGCUUCAGGAAUUUGCGUCAACAUUGCUUUAGGGCAUGCGUGGUCAUUCUUCACUCCGUUGUUGUUGUUUACAACAACAUAUAUGGGGAUUGUAUAUGUUUAUAUAGUAUAUGGGGAUUGUAGUGUUUAUCUCACUCCUUGGAUGAUUUCUGGAGACACAGGGUUUUGCUAUGUUGCCCAGGCUGGCUUUGAACUCCUGGGAUCAAGUGACCCUCCUGCCUCAGCCUCUGAAGUAGAUGGGACUACAGGUCCACGCCACCAUGCCGAGCUGGACAUGUAA
rnacentral:lncRNA from 1 species